rnacentral:lncRNA from 1 species
GCGGCCGCGUGUUACAGCUGCGUAAUCUCCGUUGUUUGUGUGACUGAACACUCCAGGGUGGUGAGGGGAUUGUGGCGCUGAGUGAUGUGAUGGUGAGUCAAGCACUGCCUUCCUGCCCUCACCAGCCUGGCCAACCCUGGCUUCACCAGCCUGGCCAACCCUGGCCUCACCAGCCUGGCCAACCCUGGCCUCACCAGCCUGGCCAACCCUGGCCUCACCAGCCUGGCCAACCCUGGCCUCACCAGCCUGGCCAACCCUGGCCUCACCAGCCUGGCCAACCCUGGCCUCACCAGCCUGGCCAACCCUGGCCUCACCAGCCUGGCCAACCCUGGCCUCACCAGCCUGGCCAACCCUGGCCUCACCAGCCUGGCCACCAGCGCCCUCUCCACACCCACCUUCCGCAGCCAAGAGUCACAAGCUCCUCUACAAACACACCUUUCUCCUCUCCACAUUUAGUCACUAAAAGGGCAGGUGGGGGUGGUGCUGCCUCGCCCGACUGUUCUUCGCGCCACGGAGGAGUACCUGGUGACAGAUGCAGGCGAGGUCACCAAUAUCAGCCGCUCCUCCCUCAUCUGUGGGGGAUCCCUGUUCUCCAUGGCUCCGACGAGCUCCUUCAGAAAGGAAAGUUAAACGAGGGCAUCAGAGGAGGAAGGAGAGAGGAAGAGGAGGUGAGGCAGAGGUGGAGACAGGCUGGAAGCCGCCUCCGCACCAUUGCUGAUCUCUUUCAAGCUACCCAUGGUAAGGGUUUGAGAAAGGCGGGACGAGCAUCAUUUCCCAUCGAGGCAUCUCUGGCCUGCUGCCUCUCCGCCUCUUGUCUCUGGCUCUACUGCUGGAGACUCUUCAGCAGUCUUUGUUGACAACAACGGUAACCCCUGGUGCUCCAUCACCGAAGUCUUUGUUGACAACAACGGUAACCCCUGGUGCUCCAUCACCGAAGUCUUUGUUGACAACAACGGUAACCCCUGGUGCUCCAUCACCGAAGUCUUUGUUGACAACAACGGUAACCCCUGGUACUCCAGCACCGAAGUCUUUGUUGACAACAACGGUAACCCCUGGUACUCCAUCACCGAUGGAAGCCUUGUAACAACUAAGAGCGAUCUCUUUCUGACCUGCUCCAUACGACUUCGUAAUCAACUGUGGGUCUUCAUAUUAUUAUUUUGAUAUCGAGAAAAUAUAGAGGCCGUAUGAUGGGGGCGAACUCUCUUCCCUGGAAUUCUCUCAAGUUUAGGGAGAUUAUUUAAUUUCAAGUAUGAUCUUGUUCGGUUUUCAUGUUAUAAGCGCGGUAUUCAGGUGUGUUCAUAUCUCAAGAAUGACUCCUCUUCAACGCUCACGCUUGAACGAUACAGUGUUUACGUUUCAGUGCUGGUACGUGCGUGUUUGAGAUAAAAAAAAUUCUUAGAGGUUUGUGGAUGGCCCCUCUAUUAGUUUGUCCUUACUCCUCCACAGCAGGUGAUAGUGAACGCUGACGACACUGUUCAGGUGGUUACUGUAGUCAGCAUCACUAUACUACCAGUCUUUCAACAGUCUGACUCUCCCAAGCUUGAACAAAUCCACAAGGGCCGUGACGAGGAUUUGAACCUGCUUCCGGGAGCAUCCCAGACACUGCCUUAAUCUCCCAAGCUUGUAAAUGUGGACAGCUAGACACAUUCAUCCAAAUUAUAAUGUUAUUGUAUACUUCUAUUUAUGGUAAAUAUUAAACAAAUCAAAUUUAGCUCCAGUGCCACGUUAGGACUAAGGAAGUCUAAGGACUAAGGAGUCGAGGUUUCAUCCUUAUGGCUUAUUAUAGUUUAGUCCAAGAACUAUACACUUUUGUAAGCUAGUAUUAUUUCAUAGGCAUAAAUAAUUGUUAGGUAUAAUUGAUACACUAGUAUCAAGUACACUUGACGAAUUAUUUGUCAAAAGUAUGCGGUGCCCUGCUCAAGGCGUCGCAUACUUAUGGCGAAAAAAAAGGAUAGUCUUGUGGGUGGAAAUAUUUGAGACAGAAGUAUGCGGCGGGUCCAUGGUGUCCACACAGCUGGACGGGAGACAUCUCCCGUCACGCAGGGUGCAGUCGCACCUCCACAGAUCUCUAGUAUCAUCUACUGAUACUGGUAAUGGCUCAAACGGGCCACCACUUACGGGCUAUUCAUGCCCGUGCCACCUUUUGCGUGGCUUAAUCUUCCUCAAUCAUCAAUCACACAGCUAGGAGGCAUAUUAACCCCGGGCACUCAUAGUGAGUAGA